UAACAUCAUCUGAUAUCAACUGGAACAAAGCUGAAAUGGCUGCCUGACCUGACUUAAAAAUUGGAUGGCAGUACAUCAGACUAGAAGAUUACAAGUAUUGAGGUGGACAAAAUGAAACCUGAGCCUACCAAAGCUGACAGAUUGCACAAGAAACACAUAAAUGCAGAUUGGAAGAUUCAUUCUCUGGAAAGUAGAAAAGGGCAUGUUACAUACUGUUAUCACUGCCAUGACAGAAACCAUAUUGAGGAGCUGGUCCACCUGUAGGAAGAAUUGCGCUAUUGGUUGGAGCAGCACUAUUACCCAGCCAUACACCAGCACUUAGUUUGUCAUAGGGAGCAUUUCUGAGCAGUUAUGGAGACCACUAACUAUGCAGUUGUUGCAGUGAAACUUGCACCAGUGUGUUUUCUGUGGAGAUAAAGAGAUAGUGUCCAGCAAUGAAGACCCAACUCAAGAUCUGACCUUGUAAGGCCAAUAUGAAAUAACUGUGUGGGAAAAUGGGAAAAACCUGCAGUCAGGAAUGCACGGAAAUCAUCAAAAGAACAGUGUUAAAUUAAUCUUGAAUAACUUGACAUUUAUUUUGUUUGACAUAUUUAUUCAUGGUGCAGUGAAAACAUUCUUUUUUCUCAUGGUUAUUUAAAUUUAGAAUUGAUAGGAGGGAACAUCACUAUGUAGUUUCAUGUUCAUAGUCAGAUCAA